rnacentral:rRNA from 1 species
ACUCCUACGGGAGGCAGCAGUGGGGAAUAUUGCACAAUGGGGGAAAGCCCUGAUGCAGCAACGCCGCGUGGAGGAUGACACAUUUCGGUGCGUAAACUCCUUUUAUAUAGGAAGAUAAUGACGGUACUAUAUGAAUAAGCGCCGGCUAAACUCCGUGCCAGCAGCCGCGGUAAUACGGAGGGCGCAAGCGUUACUCGGAAUCACUGGGCGUAAAGAGCGUGUAGGCGGAUAGAUAAGUCAGGAGUGAAAUCCUAUGGCUCAACCAUAGAACUGCUCUUGAAACUGUCAAUCUAGAGUAUGGGAGAGGUAGAUGGAAUUUCUGGUGUAGGGUAAAAUCCGUAGAGAUCAGAAGGAAUACCGAUUGCGAAGGCGAUCUACUGGAACAUAACUGACGCUGAGACGCGAAAGCUGGGGAGCAAACAGGAUUAGAUACCCUGGUAGCGAGUAG